GAUGAACGCUGGCGGCGUGCCUAAUACAUGCAAGUCGAGCGAACGGACGAGAAGCUUGCUUCUCUGAUGUUAGCGGCGGACGGGUGAGUAACACGUGGAUAACCUACCUAUAAGACUGGGAUAACUUCGGGAAACCGGAACUAAUACCGGAUGAUAUUUUGAACCGCAUGGUUCAAAAGUGAAAGACGGUCUUGCUGUCACUUAUAGAUGGAUCCGCGCUGCAUUAGCUAGUUGGUAAGGUAACGGCUUACCAAGGCAACGAUGCAUAGCCGACCUGAGAGGGUGAUCGGCCACACUGGAACUGAGACACGGUCCAGACUUCUACGGGAGGCAGCAGUAGGGAAUCUUCCGCAAUGGGCGAAAGCCUGACGGAGCAACGCCGCGUGAGUGAUGAAGGUCUUCGGAUCGUAAAACUCUGUUAUUAGGGAAGAACAUAUGUGUAAGUAACUGUGCACAUCUUGACGGUACCUAAUCAGAAAGCCACGGCUAACUACGUG
rnacentral:rRNA from 1 species